rnacentral:tRNA from 1 species
GCAGUCAUGGCCGAGUGGUUAAGGCGAUGGACUCGAAAUCCAUUGGGGUCUCCCCGCGCAGGUUCGAAUCCUGUCGGCUGCG